UGGCCUCUCGUGCUAGAGCGGUGCAGCGUGGCCGGCUGUGCAGGGCCAAGCAGGUCAGGGCCGGGAUCAGGGAGUGUUGUUGCAGGGCAGCUGGGGCCAGGUGGGCGGGAGCAGGCAGGUAAUGAGGCAAGGGGCUGCAGGUGGCUGUGGGUCAGGAGAGGCCUGAGGGCCAAUGAGGAGGCAGGAAGGGGCUGGGCUGAGGCCUCUCAGGCACGGUGGGCCUGAGGACGUGGGGGCACUCUGGUCUGGGUGGCACGGGGAGAAGAGUUGCUGGUGGUGCUGCUGCCCAGGGUGUCCUUUGCAGGGAAGAGGGAGCAGGCAAGGCAAGGCAAGGCAAGGCUGUGGUUUGGCUGGAAGGAAGAGGUGUGGAAGAAGGGCCUGCGUGUGGAGUGCAAGAGGUGUGAGGUGUGCAAAGAGGAGCUGUGGGGCUGGUGGUGGAGUGGAGGAGGUGUGAG